AACGAACGCUGGCGGCAUGCCUAACACAUGCAAGUCGAACGAACCCUUCGGGGUUAGUGGCGCACGGGUGCGUAACGCGUGGGAAUCUGCCCUUUGCUCCGGAAUACCUCAGGGAAACUUGUGCUAAUACCGGAUGAUGUCUUCGGACCAAAGAUUUAUCGGCAAGGGAUGAGCCCGCGUAGGAUUAGGUAGUUGGUGGGGUAAAGGCCUACCAAGCCGACGAUCCUUAGCUGGUCUGAGAGGAUGAUCAGCCACACUGGGACUGAGACACGGCCCAGACUCCUACGGGAGGCAGCAGUGGGGAAUAUUGGACAAUGGGCGCAAGCCUGAUCCAGCAAUGCCGCGUGAGUGAUGAAGGCCCUCGGGUCGUAAAGCUCUUUUACCAGGGAUGAUAAUGACAGUACCUGGAGAAUAAGCUCCGGCUAACUCCGUGCCAGCCGCCGCAGUAA
rnacentral:rRNA from 1 species